rnacentral:lncRNA from 1 species
GGCUUUCUUGUCCUCAUAGCUUUUAUAGAUCAGCUGCAUAUGUCUUGCCUAGCCAUCAAAUCUAAUAAGAGCAGACAGCCUUGUCUCUCUGAUGGUUCCUGUGUAAUCAUGCCGCAUCCAUGUGUCAUCUAACACAGAACAUUUUGUCAGGUUAGGAAAGUGAAAUUCAUGAGCUUAAAAUAGAGGACAUCCUCCAGAGGGUUGCAGCCAUGCCAGAGUUACACUUUCCACAAAAGGGACAUCAGAAAAGCUGCCUCACUGGUUGGAACAACAGAGCAUGCAUUGUCGACACCCUCAGAGGCUAUGUCUAAGACCACUGGUCCAUCUGGCACUGACAUCAAAAUCUUGACCACCCAUUAACACAACGCCUGGACUGAACAUUGUCCUUUGGCUGAACCCUCCAAAACUGUGCUUGCUGCUGUUGCUUUAGACUCAAGACUGUCAUAUCAGCUCUUUUUGUUGUUGCACUAGCUUUGUUUGGUUCAAAUGCUACAGUGUAGCACUGAAUCCGUGGAUUGGGAUCACAGAGAAUGUUUUUUUGAGAUUAAAAUGAGGCACAAUCAAGAGGAAGGAAAAUUGCAGUCAGACCCCACAGCUAAAGAAUACAAUGAGAAUUCUGGAAAACAGCAGAUUCUGGCUUUCUGACACUGAGACACAGAUGUAGGAGGGGAAACAGCUUAAUGAAAAAGCUACCUUAUUUGGAAAAAGCCUUGAUUUAAGAAAAAAAGAAAGAAAAAGAAAAAAGAAAAAAAGAAAUGCCUGGAACUUUGUAAGUCUGGGGAUAAAUAGAAACAGAUAUUCAUCACAGACCUACCUGGCAAGUGUACGUAUGGGGCCUGGGGUAACGGGAGUGUACUGCACUAAUUUUCUGCUCAGGCCUGCAAAUGUCUAAUUCUCAUAGACUUUUAGUUUAGCUGUUCAUCGUCUGUUUCUUCCAUGUCUCUCUUUACAUUUUUUGCUCUUGUUCAAUAAUUAGUAUAAAAAUAAAAUGAUAAAUUUUGAACCUUAUUAAAAAUAG